CAGUAGCCGCGGGAAUACGAAGGGUGCAAGCGUUACUCGGAAUUACUGGGCGUAAAGCGUGCGUAGGUGGUGGUUUAAGUCCGUUGUGAAAGCCCUGGGCUCAACCUGGGAAUUGCAGUGGAUACUGGGUCACUAGAGUGUGGUAGAGGAUAGUGGAAUUUCCGGUGUAGCAGUGAAAUGCGUAGAGAUCGGAAGGAACAUCUGUGGCGAAGGCGACUAUCUGGGCCAACACUGACACUGAGGCACGAAAGCGUGGGGAGCAAACAGGAUUAGAGACCCGAGUAGUCCCUGUCUCUUAUAC
rnacentral:rRNA from 1 species